rnacentral:lncRNA from 1 species
UUCUUACAUGUUUUGCAAAUGUCAAUUUUUUGACAAAAAUUUAAAACGUAAAAGGUAAUGAACCAAGUUGCCGCAAAUUCUAUAAAUUGAGAUAAAAGCUGCAAUUUUCUCUAUUUUUAGUACAGCUAAUUUCGAAAUAACUAUUGCAAAACUAUUUUUUAAAUUUUCAGAGAGGCAAUGAUGCCCGCUGUUCAAUUCGGCGCGCGGAGGUGUCGCCCCAGUAAAUAUACAGUAGAGCUUACAAGCUAGCCAAUUCAGAUUUCUCAAGUUAUUACAAUUCCGAGUUCAAACCAGAAGUGAGCAGAUAAAUUUCUCCAAAGAUAAUGGCGAAAAGGCGGAAGGGCUUAUAUACAUAUUCUUCCCUGCACAGCAGAUCUAUGCAAAAAUUCCAUGCAGAAAUCAGGUGAUCUCCUCUCUUCACCCUCUAUAAACAGAUUGACGUGUACCUAAAUUAUUGAUAAUACUAUUCUGGACUACGAUUGAUGGACUCUAUGAGAGAUUACGGUUCUCCCAAUUUGAAUUUGUUGACAUCUCCAAUCCUGCACCAAAGUUUGCACCAAACUAAAAUUCACCACCAACCAUUGUACAAAUGAUAGUUUUUAUUAUUUUAUUCAUUCUUUGGGUUUUUGACAAUGUAUUUAUUUUUAAAAAAUUAUUU